GUGUUCUCUCUGACAGCACUUGUAAUAAAAUUGGAACGAUACAAAGGAGAUUAGCAUGGCCCCUGUGCAAGGAUGACAUGCAAAUUCGUGAAGCAAAUUCGUGAAGUUCCAUAUUUUU
ensembl:snRNA U6 U6 spliceosomal RNA